AUGAAGGUCCACCCUUAAUCGCACCCUUGAACCUACCUAACUGUCAGUAGGGCAGGGGUGUCAAACUCAAUUCCUGGAGGGCCGGAGCCCUGCAGAGUUUAGAUUGAACAAUGAGACCAGCCAAAGGAGUCCAGGUUGUCUGUGUCUUUAUAGUGAGUGCUGAUGAGGAGGUGAAUCCGAAUUUCAGGGAGAGUGAACGAGUGGGCAGAGUGUGCUGAUCUGGUAACGAUGGGUUGAUUGUGGUCUCUGUGACAGAAUGACUUGAGGGUCCCAAGUGACUAUUUUCAAUGAAAGAGACCCAUCUCAGGAACUGCAUGUGCAGCCAAUUCAAGCAAUCACGAAUUAACCACAAGUGUGCCGCCCGUAAAUCCAGUGUUGAUGACUGCCUGUGUAUUUAGGCCAAGAGAAAGACUGGUCUCCAAAGGCAAGUCCCACUCCAGCCCCCAACCAGAUGAUACCCUUUAACCACAGACUUGUAUAGUAUGUGGAUUAGGGCCUGGGCCUUACGGAUUCUCAAUAUUCAUACCCAUGAUAGUGGAAACAGCCCUUUGAGCAGUCACUGAGGAUGGAGAAACUUGAUAGGAGCUAUAAAUUCCGCCUUUCCAAUGUGUGUAAUGUGGAGAGUCACAAUCUCAAUGCAGCGAGGGAUAUCGUUUGCACACCAAAGUUAUAUUUUGCUCUCUUUUUGGGGAUGAUUUGAAUUAUGAUGCUAUCUGAUAGACUCACUUUUCUAAACACCAUGUUGAAAAUCGUCAUUAUUUCAAAAGUAAGUGUGCUUUGGCAUCAGAUAAUGUUUCUGUAUCUGAUAAUAAAUGCCAGCGGGCAUCACAAGACACCACUGACAUUUGCUGGACUGACCUGUAGCUCUAGCAGUCAGCUGUGUGAGUGUGUUCGCCUUGAGGGGACCAGACCAAAAAACACUAGGGGAAAACCCACGAGAAACAGACAGUUUGACUAAUGGAGAGUCAUCUUCAAAAGGAUCAGGCGUCAUCGGCUUCACAGACCAAAUCAGUGCCUCACUCUAAUGUGAGAGCGGGAUGGAAAAAGUCAUUGUAGUAGGUCUGAGAACAGCUUAAAAACCAUUUAGAGAGUCUUAAUUGAAAUUAAAAGAUGAGUUUAAGGC